rnacentral:rRNA from 1 species
AUACGGAGGGUGCAAGCGUUAUCCGGAUUUACUGGGUUUAAAGGGUACGCAGGCGGUAAUUUAAGUCAGUGGUGAAAGCCUACAGCUCAACUGUAGAACUGCCAUUGAAACUGAAUUACUUGAGUAUGGCAGAGGUAGGCGGAAUACAACAUGUAGCGGUGAAAUGCAUAGAUAUGUUGUAGAACACCGAUUGCGAAGGCAGCUUACUAAACCAUUACUGACGCUCAUGUACGAAAGCGUGGGGAGCGAACAGGAUUAGAAACCCCAGUAGUCC